CGACUAAUCUUUUGGAAAAAUACCUUAAUCUGAGGCAGGAUCCGCAGAUGAUUGUGGCGUGGCCGCCCCUAAUCCUCAGGCACGUUCGCAGGUGCCGGCAGAUUUCCCCGUAUCGGAUAUUAAAGCGUGUUCACAGAGGGGCUUAGCUGCCAUCAGAGCAUUAAUCACCGUGUCCAGCUCUGGCAUAGUGCCCACCCAGCAGGUGUCUGCGUCCCCUGGGCCCGGCAGAGCCCCCUCCCCACUGCAUGGCCAUGGGGGCACUCAGCAAGCUCCACUCUCUGCUCCAUAGCACCCGAGAAGCCCCCAGGCUCCUUUUGGAGCUGCCUUCCCUCCUCAGCCAGAGAAAAUGGGUUUGGUAUGAGCUGUGCUGGGAGCCAGGUGCCAACUCCAACAUGGUCACACCAGGUGUUGUCAUCCUGAACAGAUCUGUGUGGAGGGCAACCAUCACCACGUACUGCCAAGCUGACCAUGAGUGAGUACCGCCCCCCCUAAAACAGGUAGGGGACCAGGUGGGAGCAGGAAGGACAGACUAAGCAAGAGCCCUGGUUUCCACAGGAGACAUCAGGAUGUGAGAUGCAGAGGGAGAGGGAAGAUUCAUGGCUGUCUGUGAUGUCUUUUAGAGGCCAGGUCAGAGUGCUGCAUGGCAGGAAGGAGGUUGAAAACAUACACUGUUAUUUAAUUCUAUAGCAAAAAAGACAGAAACUUUACAGAGUAACUGAGACAGCAACAGCUUGUAACCUCUGUGCUGGGGUAGUAACAUCCAGUAGAUGACAGUUCAGAGAUGAGAUGCCCAAACAAAUGGCUCGUGUAGUGAGCAAAAGCCUCCAGCACGAGCCUCGAUUUAUGGGGAUGUGUGUGGUUAUAGUUUCCCAAGGUCUCCUUCAAUUGUGCGCACCAUCACAUACAGUUCAGCCAAGCCAACCACCGACGCCACAAUCACUGCUGACAGGACACGCUGGGGGUACAAAAAAGAAAGAAAAGUGGCCGUGUCUGUGUGGUCGAGCUGCUGCCUGGUGCUGGGCAGCAUCUGCUGCUCCUGCCAACAGGUUCUGAGCUGGUUCUGAGGCCGUGGCCACCACGCUCACUCACCGCUGCUGUCUCCACAAAGACAUACUGGCUGCCCAGGUAUGUGCAGGCGAACGCAGCCACCACGGUGACAAAGAAGUUGAAUAUGGUGAUGACUACAGCUUUAACAGAGCGAACUGGAGAGAAACGGGAGAGAUGAGGGACUGGUGAGGGGCAAGCUGUAAUCCUGCUGGUUGAAUCUGCCUGUGACUGUCUCAGCUGGGCUACAGGAAUGCUUGAGAAUUCACGUGUUUUACACCUCCAGAAAUACUUUUAAGAACUACAGACUGGCUGCUUCUUUACUGGAGGAACACUUUGAGCAUCAGCACCCUUCAGGGAGAUGCUGUUGCUCAGCAAGGGAAGGGCUGGCUGAGGCCAACCACUAGUGAUGUGAGCCAACUCCUAGUGAUGUGAUGGUUCCUGUGCCCAACUUCUCUGCUGUUGGUACAUACUGUCCAGUGUCAGCAAGACAAGCAACCACUCACCUUGCCUCCCGAACUCAGCUAACGUCCCAUGGUUCAUGUCCUGCCCAGUCACAUUGCGGGUCAUCCGCCGGUACUCCUCAUUGGCCAGCUUGGCCUUUAUCUGCUCCAGCCUGGCCACCAGCUCCGGGUUCCGCGGCUGCACCGGCACCUCGGGCAGGGCGAUGUCGCUGUCUCUCAGGAGCUCGUGGAGGAACAGCGGGGACCCUGCCUCCCGCAGCCCGCUGUGCAGCCUCCGCAGCAAACUGAAGGGCACCAGGGAGCCCUUGGAAGCCACAGCCUCCCGCAGCUCGUCCCGGAGCGCGGCGGGGAGCCCGGACAGCUCCUCGCUUUCCACCGCCCGCCUCAGCCGCUGUCCGGCCCGAAUCGCCGACGCCAUCUUGCCCGGCUG
rnacentral:lncRNA from 1 species